GAGGACCGGUCUAUAUAGGCCUUCAUACGCGUCACGUUUACCCAUAUUUGUAAUUUGUAUAUGAAGCAAAAUAGGAAAAUGCACAGUCAACAUAAAUGCAAAAACAAAUACUCAGUAUGAUAUGCAGCAAUCAUCGAAUUUUUCAUACAACAAUUCACUUAAUACUACGAAUAUAAAAGUUACAAAAUUAAACCCCGGCAACGAAACAUUGGUAUCAAAACUACUAGUCAGAUCAUAUCAUCAACACUGUUAUACGUCCCACUGCUGGGCAUGGGUGUUCAUCAUAAAAAUCUUUAUAAAUAUUGUACUACAUCACACUUGCUGCAUCAUGUUCUAUAUGAUAUAUUUGAAGAGAUCUUUUAAAGGAUUCCGGAGAUCAAUUAUUCAACUUCGUGCCCAGCGCUG